UCCGGCUUAUCACCGGCAGUCCCCUUAGAGUGCCCAACUGAAUGAUGGCAACUAAGGGCGAGGGUUGCGCUCGUUGCGGGACUUAACCCAACAUGUCACCACACGAGCUGACGACAGCCAUGCAGCACCUGUCUCUCUGUCGUAUUGCUACGAAAGCCGUAUCUCUACGGAUGUCAGAGGAUGUCAAAUCCAGGUAAGGUUCUUCGCGUUGCUUCGAAUUAAACCACAUGAUCCACCGCUUGUGCGGGCCCCCGUCAAUUCCUUUGAGUUUUAGUCUUGCGUCCGUACUUCCCAGGCGGGGUACUUAUUGCGUUAGCUCCGACUCGGCAGGGGUCAAAUCCCACCAAGUCUAGUACCCAUCGUUUACGGCGUGGACUAC
rnacentral:misc_RNA from 1 species